rnacentral:rRNA from 1 species
AGUGAACGCUGGCGGCGUGCCUAAUACAUGCAAGUCGAACGAGAAAGUUUCCUUCGGGAAGCGAGUAAAGUGGCGCACGGGUGAGUAAUACAUAGAUAAUCUUCCUUACAGCGGGGAAUAACACUGGGAAACUAGUGCUAAUACCGCAUACUCUUAAGAUGACUGUGGUCGUUUUAAGCAAAGAGGGCCUCUGCUUGCAAGCUCUCACUGUAAGAUGAGUCUUUGUCCCAUUAGGUAGUUGGUAGGGUAAUGGCCUACCAAGCCAAAGAUGGGUAGCUGGUCUUAGAGGAUGAUCAGCCACACUGGAACUGAAACACGGUCCAGACUCCUACGGGAGGCAGCAGUAGGGAAUUUUGCGCAAUGGGGGAAACCCUGACGCAGCGACGUCGCGUGUGGGAUGAAGGGUCUCGGCUCGUAAACCACUGUCGAAUGGGAAGAUGGGACUUACAAUUAAUAAAUGUAAGUUUUGACUGUACCAUUAAAGGAAGCACCUACUAACUACGUGCCAGCCGCCGCAGUAA